GUUUUCACUAAUUUGGAAGCCUUUUUUACCUUUUUAGUGGUUUACGUCUUUUUUAAAAUACAAAAUUUAUUACAUAGUAAAACUAAGAAUGAUAAUUUGUUGUUUUACAUGGUAGAAAGUUAUCGAUGCAAUAAUUAUAUAUAAUUUAUAAUAAGAUUAAUAAUGUAAAGAAUGAACAUACAUAUACAGAGUCCAUUAACUUCAAGUUUGCGGGUUAGUUUAAACAAUUGGGCCUGUAUCCCUUUAAUGGGCCGAGCCUACUAGGUAGAGGUUCUUCGCGGAAUAACCAAUGGCGAAUACAUACAUACACGCGGUCUCUGCUCUCUAACAGACACCAGCGACUGAGCUAGAGAAAUGAGUGUUCAAAUCUGUAACUUCCCGUUGAAUCCGCGCUUCGCGCUGCGACCCCGCUCCCAAACCGCCGCGAGGUCUACACGAAUCUUCGCUCGUGCGGAGAAUGAAUCGUCACGGUCUGAUCAGCAACAGCUCAAUCUCUCCGUCCUUCGCUUCACUUUCGGGAUUCCUGGGCUAGACGAAUCUUAUCUACCGAGGUGGAUCGGGUACGGGUUCGGAUCGCUUAUUCUUCUCAACCACUUCUCAGCUUCACCUCCAAUCAACGAAUCUCAGCUGAGAUCAGAGGCUUUAGGGUUAUCACUUGCUGCAUUCUCCGUAGCUUUACCUUACUUUGGCAAGUUCCUCAAGGGUUCUGAAGUAGAGAAGAGAAGCUUACCUGAAGAGGGAGAACAGGUUUUUGUGAUAUCAUCAAGCAUUGGAGACUCUUUGAAAGAGGAUUUGGCUUGGGCAACUUAUGUUUUGCUAAGGAAUACAAGUACAGUAGCUGUGAUGAUAUCGAUUCAAGGUGAGCUUUGUGUUCGCGGUUACUGGAACUGCCCUGGUCAAAUGUCAAAGGCUCAACUACAUGACUGGUUCAAGAGAAAGGUUGAUGAAAUAGGCCUGGCUGAUGUUAAGGAGACCCUUUAUUUCCCUCAGUAUGCAGGUUCUGCAUUGUCGUGGGAUAUUCUUCCUGAUGGGACGCGUUCUGUUUUUGUGCAACCUCUCGUUCAAAAUACAGAUGAAUCGGAGAAAAUGGAUGGGUUUUUGCUGGUGGCUUCUACUGCUGGAUAUGCAUAUAGCGAUAAAGAUAGAGCCUGGAUUGGAGCCAUGGCUGAUAAAUUCAGAGGAUGACAUGACCUAUUCAUUAUAAUAUAACAUUUGACUCGUAUCUUGAUUGAUGAUUGGCGAAACACUUCAGUUCCUACAGGAAUUUCUCGAGGCCAUAAACCAGAUUCUGUAAAACCAAAAGAGAACAAGGACAAGUGAUUAGAUAACACUUGUUCAUGCCUUUACCUGAACAUCAGUUGAACUAUCUUCUCUGUUGUAUAUCUGACCAAGAUUUGAUAUGUUGUUCGCAAUUUGGGUAGCUUCUGGAGAAGGAAGAUCCUGCAUUUCAUAGUGGAAGGAAGCCAUGAUCACAGCCUGUUGGAGAAGUAUAGAUCCUAUGGAUAGUGUUGGUGCUACAAGGCACCCCUAUAAUGCAAACAAUGGAGAAAUUAGAUAAAUCUGGAACAUUUAUGGUCGCUCCAGGACAAGCUCGACUUCACCAAGAAAAAACAACAAAACGAAUUUGCUGAGAGUAUCUCACCCUGUGCUCACCAUGGUGGCCUUGUCACAAAGUGCAGAUAACGCUGAUACUGUCUCUGGCUUAAUCCGAGGUACAUACACAACACUCUUCAUCCCAAAUGCCGUUGCCUUGAUAAGAUCAAAGAUCAUUAACACUCUUGAUGGUUUGACUUUUCCAACUUGGUGGAUAAAAAAGAAAGUUUUUUUUAUUAAAUACCUGUUUUACGUU